CGAAGAUGGAGAGACAGACGUGGGAAGAGAGGAAGAGGAGAGAAGAGAGACGGGGAGCCGAGCGAAGAGCGUCCUGUGUUCCUGCUGCCCUCUGCGAGUGUGAACCCGCUCAUCUCCUUCCGGUAAAAGAUGAUGAUACGCCAAGCGAGGCAGAAACGAAAUGCUGGGGAUCCCCCGCUGCGUCCAAUCCUGACGUCCCUACCGGUGUGCCGGCCUGCGCGGGUGCGCAACAGCGGCUGCGUGUGUGUUUGACAGUGUGUAAAAGUGUGUUUGUGUGUGACAGGAAGACAGUGUGCAGCAGACAUGAAGGAUCGGUACGGGUGGUUGUUGUGGGGUAGAGGGGGGGUCAGCCGUGACUUUAAACCGCGUGCCCUGACUGUGACAGGUGACGGCGGAGCGAGAGCAGCACGAGCGCGUAGUAAGACAUCUGGUUAAAUGAGGUGUGUGUUAUUUUGCCCCUGAUUUUAUCCUGACAGGAUGCUCAGCAGCCCAAUAAAUAAAUAAAUAAAUAAAUAAAUAAAUAAAUAAAUAAAUAAAUAAAACCAGAAAACUCCCAAGUGACCAAACAGCCGCGUUUAUUCCAAAAAAAUUAAACUUAACUUUUAUUCAAAUGUAUAUAUUUUUAAAUCAAUUAAAACAUGGGCUUUCAUAAAUGAAGUCUUGAUGUUUCAGUUAAAUAGUUUAUUUAGGGGCUUGUAUGGACACAAUUACAGAUACCCACACACACAUUGGUGGGAAAAGACCUAUACCCCUGCAGCUUCUUCUUUAAGGUCCUGCGAAUAACUCAUGCACAGAAAACAUAUAACCCACCUCUCUCUCUCUCUCUCUCUCUAUAUAUAUAUAUAUAUAUAUAUAUAUAUAUAUAUACUAAUUUUUUAAACAUAAUAUUUACUUCUUUAUUUCAUAAUAUUUUCAACUUUCAUAUUGAUUAUUACUACUUAAUAGUUAUACAGUUAUGACUUUAUAAUCAUAAUAUGUAUUACUUUAGCUGUUACUGUCAGGCUUCAUUAUGGGAACAUUAACAAUUAUAUUCCUGCAAAUUAUUGCAAUAUUACAAUUUUAUAUUUUCAAUAUUAGGACUGUAUUCAUACCUAGGAUUUUGUCAUUUUUACCUAUUUAUAACUUUUCAACAUUAUCCCUGUGACAUUAUGAAGUUGUAUUUUCAUAACACUACAUUGUUUAGUCUUGUUAAAUGACAACUAUGUUACUGCAACAUUACAACUGAUAACAUUCACUUAACAUUAUGACCUCAUUUUUAAAUAUUGUAAAACUAUGACUUUACCUACAUUACGAUUUUUUUUAUUGCAGCUGUACAACAUUAUUAUUGAGACAGUAAGACUUAAUCUGGUUUGACUGUACUGACCGUGUUAAACCAAGUGUGAAUGAAACUGUAUAGAAUGGGGGUCACAGAAAUCUGCAGAAAUAUGGAAAUAAACAGAGCUCCCACUAUUCAAAACAGAGAUUUUAUCAGAUAUUUGUGGUUAAUUGAAUUCUUUGUGAAAAAACAAACAAACAAAAAAAAAAAAAAAAACAUUCAGCCCUCAAAGGUACUGCUUGAUGUUAUGAUGGAAACUGAUGAUGGGGUAACGUAUGCGGUAACCUCAGUAAGAUAUCAAACUUCUAGAGCCUUAUCAGUCAUGUACAUUAAAACAGAGGGAAAGGGAAUUUACAAUUAAAGAAGGACUCAACACACCCACAUCUUUUUAAUGUACCUUAUAAUGUGUAUGUAUAUUGAGACUCAAACUGAAACACAGUAAUUUAGUAAAAUUAAAGCUUUUUUGCGGUUUAGGCAUCCUACAAUCAGCAGGCUAUCAUAAAAUGGAUGCAAAGUUUUCUAUAUUUCACACGGUAUCAGUUACUGAAUUUAAAAAUCCUUUAAAAAAAUCAAAGUACAUCAAAACUACAGAGAAAACUAGGUGGGUUUAACAUCACAGACCUUAUCUUCAAGAGCUUGUCAGUCAGUGUUUAUUCACACAACGGAAAAAUCUUGUUUAUGUUGAAAAGCUUAAAAGACUAUGAACACCAGUGAGAGAUUUCCUAUAACCACAGACAGGCAAGAAAUACUCUAAUAAAAAUACAUUAAUAACUCUUAAAUUAUGGAUUUAAUGAUGCCUGAAAAUACAAUUUUCUUUUUGCAGAAUAUCACGCAAACAAACAAACAAACAAACAAACAAAACUUUUAUCUUGCUUCAACCCUUAGAAUUUGUCUUGCAUGACAGGUCUUGUGAAAAUGUAACGAUGAUAUCAAAUUGAAUUUAUUGUUUUAUGCAAGCUGUAUCUAUACUUUUACCAGUGUAUAUUCUCUCUUACAAUUUUGCAGGUUAAACAGUCCAACAAAAGCUGCAAAAUCUUUAACAGUGAUGUUUUCGCAGAGUAAAGCUCCAAACGUACACAGCUGGCCUUUGAAACAGUACACCGGAGUGUUAGCAGACUAUUAUUGCCUGACUCUGUAUCAAUCCAUGGCCACUAUCUUAUGGUAAGCCGAUCAAUCAAUGAGAAGAAACUGUGUGAUGUCUUUCAACUAAGAGCAAACAGUGUAGAAGUGUUAUGUCCAUCUCAAUCAAGGUUUAGGGAGCCUUGCUCUAACUUUUAAAGAACAGUAAGUACACAACUGGUGUUUUAUUUGCUUUGAUAAAUUAGAGCAGAAGAGCCAGAAAAUUACGCUUUUACUUCUUGGACAGCUGCUGCCUGCAUUCAAACAUUAAGGCCCGAACUACAUGUAUAUAGAUAUUUAUUUAUCAGGAUAUUUUUGUACUCCCAUCUAAAUAAAUGUAUCUGUCCACACGUGUUAGUUCUCAAAAAUAUCUGCGUCCACACGUAGCCUUCAAACUCAAGCCUAUCUGGUGCCGCUUAAAAAAAAUUCAGGAACAAAGCUACCUGAUUGGCCGAUGAAUCGUAACAGCGUGAUGUGUCAUGCAUUGUUUGCGGAAGCUACGCUAGUGCGUCGGGUCCAUGUGACGGACCAUGUGACCAAUAAAAGUAUUAGCCGCAGCAGACGCGUCUGUGAGCUGGCUGACUGGUGGAUGUAAUUGUAUAAAACAAGGUUCACUUGCAAGGCUGAAAUUAGCCCCAAAAGGGCAAAACAAACGUAAAGAAUACCCUGUAUGUCCACCAUCGUUGUUGUUGUUUUUCUUUUUAAUUCGCAUGCGCGAGCUGCGGUUUGACGUCAUCGAUCCGUAAAAGUCCAACCACACGAAUCCACUACGGAUACGGGAUACGGAUAUUUUUUUAUUUCUCCACUUGUUUUUUCGGAUUCAGAUUUAUCUGGUUUGAGUGCUCCAAACUCCUGUUUUGGUGUGGUAGGGAGGCCUAAUCGGACAUAAAUAUGUGUAAAUACAGUAAUCUGUUCAUGAACAGCUUGUUGGCCAGAGUGAAGUGGAGGCUCAUGAAGGGCAAAAACUGAAUAAAAGACAUUUAUUAGAGACAACAAUGAGGCCAGAGAGGUAGUGGGGACAGCACAGCGAAAAAACAUUCAUAAAUGUUCCUGUGUCAGGCGUGUGGUGAGCGCAGACAUAUGGAGAAGGCAUUUGUGUACCUAUAGACAGGGUUGAGCUACGUCAGGACAAAAAAAUGACUGAUCUACAGCUAACAGUGUAAGGUCCUUAUUUUCACUGUCUGUCUCUGCUAGGUCUAAAUUUCAUUGUAUCUGUCUCCACUGAUGCAUUUUCACUGUAUUUGUCUCUGCUAUGUCUCACUUUCAACUUAACACUUCAACACUACUAGAUCUCAGUUUUACUGUAAAUAACUCUGCUAGGUCUCAUUUUUACUGUAUCUGUCUCUGCUUGGUCUCAGUGUUUAACAAUCUUGUGCAGAUCUGUGCACAGAUCUGAGUGCAGGAUUCAUCGUACAAUAGGACACACGUGAGAUUUAUGAAAGGGCUCGUAUCUGACCAAUCCCAGCACACGUAUGAUCGGGUCUUGAAAAAUGCGGUGGCUGAAAUCGAUCGUCAUUAACGUGUUUACGCAUUUAAAUAUUUGUGGUUCAGAAGCCUCACCCACUGAGGUCAAACAUGAAAGAGGAGAAAUAUUACAAAGAUGCGAGAUUUUUCCGAGCUGAAAGUGGAUAUCCUCGCAUCUGUGGUGGAAACUAACAAGGAUUUUCUUUUUGGAAGUAUCAAAACUGGUAUAAAAGCAGUCCAGAAAACUCCUGUCUGGAGCAGGAUUAUGGUGGCAGUUAACAGCGCUGCCGCGGAAUAGCGGACAGUGGCUGAAGUUUGAAUAAAUCAUUAGUAAGUUGCUCAUGAUGAUAAAUUAAUAUCUCAUACAUACCUCAUAUUUGUUUAUUGCCAUGACAUAGGGUACGUUGCACCUAUUAUUGGAAGUAUUUAGUUUUAAUUUGUUGCGUCUUUGUAAUAUAGAGCAGACUGGAGAGUCUGACAGAGGCUGAACAAAAAUAAUUAUUAACCUCACCAAACGGUGUGUUGCUGCCCCAGAGGCACAUUUUUAUGGAUUUCUAUUUUAUUUUUAUCACUGAAUAAAUAGCAAGAGCACUUUCUAAACUUAUACUUUACAUGUCAGAAUCCAUCGAUAAGAUCCUGUCUCCUCUGUACAGCACCUUUGUGGAGUCUCUCCUCAUUAUUGUUCUCAGGGCAUCGGGUCCUCACAUUGCACCAGCACAGUCAACGACACUCCAUUUGCCAGUGCCACAUUGUGCAAAACUGUACUGGCUAGUUAUCAAUAGGUCUAUUCACUAAGGACAUAACAAAUUUAUUUUAUUCUAUUUUAUUUACGUCUUAAUCUUUAAUUAAAUCUGUCUGAUUGUGCUUAAUGACAGGAUUGAGGUUUGUAUAUCAAUUAUUUUCAGACAGACAUUUGUUGCACCGCAGAUCCACACCGACUCAAACUUGCAUACAUGAUGUCAGACCUGUCGUGAGAUUUGGUCGUAGCGUACGCUCACGUGCAGAUUGAUAAAUGCUGAUCCUCACGUCAAAAUUUUCGUACGCAAGGUGUACGCAAGUUUUCUGCCGUACGCAAGCUUGAUAAAUGAGGGCCACUGUAUCUGUCCUUGUACUUGUUUCUGCUAAGUUUAGGUUUUACUGUAUCUGUCUCUGCUGAAUCAGUUUUAAUGUAUCUGCCUCUACUGAUUCAAUAUCACAGUUUCUGUCUCUACAUGGACUUAGUUGUCCUAUAUCUGUCUCUGAAGCUCGAUCUGUUUCACUUUAUCUGUCUCUGCAAAUGCAGUUCCACUAUGUCUCUGCUUGGUCUGAGUUUUGCUGUAAAUGCCCCUAACAAGGUCUCAGUUUUACUGUGUUUGUCUCUGCUAGGUCUCAGUUGCACUGUAUCUGUCUCUGCUAGAUCUCAGUUUCACUGUAUCUGUUUGUGCUAGAUCUCAGUUCUACUCUAUCUGUCUCUACUAGGUCUAAGUUUCAUUGUAUCUGUCUCUGCUAGGUCUCAGUUUCACUGUAUCUAUCUCUGCUAGGUUUUGAUUUCACUGUAUCCAUCUCUGCUAGGUCUCUGUUUUACUGUUUCUGUCUCAACAUAUACAGUUUUACUGUAUCUGCCUCUGUUGUUUCAGUUACAUUGUAUCUGUCUCUCCUAGGUAUCAGUUUCCCUGUGUCUCUCUGCUGUUGCAGUUUCAGUUCUCAGGUUCAUUGUAAUUGUGUUUUAUGAGUCUCAACUUAAUUGUAUCUGUUUUGAGGGGUCCUGAUUGCACUGCAUAUAGCAAAUGCUAAAUAUAAGUUCCACUGUUUGCAUUUAUAAUGGUUGUGAGUUUCACUGGAACUGUCUUCACAGAAUCUCAGUUUCACUGCAUAAGUGACUACUGAGUCUCAGAUUAACUGUCUUUGCUGAGUCUCAGAUUCACUGUGUUUCCCUCCACUGUGUUUGAGGUUCAUCAUAAUUCUCUGCUGAUUUGGUUUCAUUGUAUCUGCUUCAGCCAGGUCUCAAGUUCAUUGUAUCUGUCCCUGCUUAGUCUCAGUUUCAUUGUAUGUCUUUUCUGAGUCUUAGAUGCACUGCAUCUGUCUCCGAGUACUCUGUUUCACUGAAUCUGUCAUCAAUAGAUCCUUUUUUGUCCUGUGUAUGUCAUCAGUGAGUCUUAAAUUUACUGUCUCCUGAAGGUGUCAAUUUCACUAUAAUUUUCCCAUGCUAGGUAUAGGUUCUCUAUACCUCAUCUAUCACCUCAUCUGUCAGUUUGCAAAUCACGGUUUUACUGAAUAUAUCUCCACUGAGGAUGAUUUACUGUGUCUGUCCCAUAGACUGUAUAUAGAAUGGACGCCGUCUGCCUCCUUGCUGGGUGAAGCCACUCCGAGAACAGCACCCUCUGUUGAUGGGCUGCAGUAAAGGUCAUAAAUCCUGCCUCCGCCAGCAAAGCUUAUGGGGCUGUGGACAAACUUUAGAAAUGUAUUACACAGAGCAUACAUUUUUCUCCCCCCUGCUUGCAGUGUUGACAUGUAGUUACAGUAAGACUGGUUUGUGCUCAAGUCCUCCUUUUUCUGUGAAGCUCCUUUUUUAAAAGUUAUUAGGGGGUUCAUGUUUUCUAUAAUUGACACUUGAUACAGCCUAUUGGCGUUCAGGGAUUGCAUAGCUCACCCGAGGGAUACGCUGUUUGAGCCCAGCGUCAUCACAGCGACUCUCCGGCCGAAUGUGUACAACGCUACUGCGCAGCGCUGGUUUCAGGAAAUGAAGAAAAAUCCCGGAAAUACCGAGAGUUUUUUGGCUUCAAAUCCGUAUACAGGUGGGAGACAGAACCAAGUUGUCCAUAGUAUAUACAGUCUAUGGUCUGUCCUCACUAGGUCUCAAAUUCACUGUAUUUGUCUUUGCACAGUCUCAAUUUCACUUUUCCUACCAAAAUGUUUGUAGCUUAGAUUUCUCUUACCUCAGAGCUAUAAACUAAAAAUGAACAGAUUUUACUGUGUUUUAAUGACAGUACAUAGGCUUAUAUUAAACUGCAGCAAGGCUUCUUACUCUCUUCCUCCACAGCAUCAACUGAACAACCAGAACUUAUUAGAUGUUCAGCGCUGUAAAGUUUCAGCUGAUUGUGUGUUGCCCUAAUGAGUCAUGUGUGGAGUAAACAGUUUAAUGAUCUUGUUGUUGAGUGUCCUCUUUCCAUUAGCAGUGUGUGUGAACAAACUGCUUAUCUUAUCUGUGGCUGUAAUCACACACACUGUAUUUUGUAAAUGGGCACACCGUAAAUCUAAGGGCUCUCCUGGCUGCUUAUUAAGGUGACUAAAGUUAAUGUAACGUUUGAUGGAAAAGGACUUAAGCUGCUGCAGAUCUGCUGUUCAUACCUGCAUACCUGUUCAUACCUGUAGAUUUAUUCGUAUUCCUCUUCCAGACAAAAUUCAAUUUGCUACAAGUCCAACAGCUUGAACAGUUGUAGGACGUAUUAUCAAUCAAAACACAUGGUUUGAUCAGGAUCUGUGUGCUAUUACUUUUCUCUACUGUAUACACAUUUUUUCAAACAUCUACUACUCUGGCAUACUGUCACCCAGAGCAGGGGUCAGCAACCUUAAACACCCAAAGAGCAAUUUGGACCUGUUUCCCACAGAAAAGAAAACACUCAGGGCUCGUGUCCGCCGGGGAUGCGGUGGAGGGUGGCGGACCCUGCGCAGUGGUAUUUUUGUCUGGCGGAGCGCGGCAUACAGCCAGUUUGGUAUUUUCAUGGACUGAGGCACACCAAUGUCCGCCAAGCUGGGCGUGGUGGUGUGGCAGGGGAAGGUGUCCACAGAAUCAGCUGGCGCAGUGACAUUUUCGUGCUCGCCGCCGGCAUGAAAAGUGCGCUGAAAGCUUGCUGAUUCAAACCUGGUCAGCUUUCAGUGCAGGCGGAGCACAGCUGGUCUAAAGAUAUUUUGGUAGACCGGCGGCGUAUCGGCAUACGUCACCAGCGCGUUUGGACACACAACCUGACUAAAUCAACACAGCUGAAACCGCAUUAAAUUCAAUUAAAUAUCUAGUACAUAGACACACGAUGAAGUUAACAAGAUAUUUAAUUGGUCUCCCUCCUUUUCUUUCUUCCUCUUCCUCUUAUUUCUCUUGCAGCUCGACCUGGACAUAUCUCCGUGUCCUCUCCCCGUCCUGCUGCAGCUGCUGCGGCGGCUGAACAGAUGAUUUAUUUUAGUGAUUAGAUGAGUUAUUUACUUUAAGCCUACAUACAAAUAUUAUAAUAUUCAGUUUUGUGAGCCAAAUUUAUUUUAUAUGCCAACAUCUAUGAAAGAAAGAGCCAGGCUACAGAGCGCGAUGCGUCAUUAUUGCGGGGCGGAUAAUAGCAUAUUACAGAAGAAUCGUUCACUUGCGGAUAAAAGCACCAAAAUUGGCACACAUACUCCUUAGGAAUUGCUCUUUUGAUAUUUCCGUCUGGCCAAAUGAACAUUCAAGAUGGCGGCCAUUUUUCAAGAUGGCCACCAUUGAAAAUACAGUAAUAUUGCAUUUUGCAAUAAAAUCCUAUAGACUUGUCCUAUUUGGAUGAUCUUGGUGUCAAAUCAGACAUUUUCCACUAUGCAGAAUCCAAAUUUGGACCCAUGGACUUACUUACUGGCUUCCUUGUACCAUAUUUAAGUCCCAGAAUCCUAAUAUUCUGGUAUUUAUGAGGUUUACAUUAUGUCCGACUUGGGUAAAAUGGUUGGUAACAUACACUCACCGGCCACUUUAUUAGGUACACCAUGCUAGUAACGGGUUGGACCCCCUUUUGCCUUCAGAACUACCUCAAUUCUUCGUGGCAUAGAUUCAACAAGGUGCUGGAAGCAUUCCUCAGAGAGCUUGGUCCAUAUUGACAUGAUGGCAUCACACAGUUGCCGCAGAUUUGUCGGCUGCACAUCCAUGAUGCGAAUCUCCCGUUCCACCACAUCCCAAAGAUGCUCUAUUGGAUUGAGAUCUGGUGACUGUGGAGGCCAUUUGAGUACAGUGAACUCAUUGUCAUGUUCAAGAAACCAGUCUGAGAUGAUUCCAGCUUUAUGACAUGGCGCAUUAUCCUGCUGAAAGUAGCCAUCAGAAGUUGGGUACAUUGUGGUCAUAAAGGGAUGUACAUGGUCAGCAACAAUACUCAGGUAGGCUGUGGCGUUGCAACGAUGCUCAAUUGGUACCAAGGGGCCCAAAGAGUGCCAAGAAAAUAUUCCCCACACCAUGACACCACCACCACCAGCCUGAACCGUUGAUACAAGGCAGGAUGGAUCCAUGCUUUCAUGUUGUUGACGCCAAAUUCUGACCCUACCAUCCGAAUGUCGCAGCAGAAAUCGAGACUCAUCAGACCAGGCAACGUUUUUCCAAUCUUCUAUUGUCCAAUUUCGAUGAGCUUGUGCAAAUUGUAGCCUCAGUUUCCUGUUCUUAGCUGAAAGGAGUGGCACCCGGCGUGGUCUUCUGCUGCUGUAGCCCAUCUGCCUCAAAGUUCAACGUACUGUGCGUUCAGAGAUGCUCUUCUGCCUACCUUGGUUGUAAUGGGUGGUUAUUUGAGUCACUGUUGCCUUUCUAUCAGCUCGAACCAGUCUGGCCAUUCUCCUCUGACCUCUGGCAUCAACAAGGCAUUUCCGCCCACAGAACUGCCGCUCACUGGAUAUUUUUUCUUUUUCGGACCAUUCUCUGUAAACCCUAGAGAUGGUUGUGCGUGAAAAUCCCAGUAGAUCAGCAGUUUCUGAAAUACUCAGACCAGCCCUUCUGGCACCAACAACCAUUCCACGUUCAAAGUCACUCAAAUCACCUUUCUUCCCCAUACUGAUGCUCGGUUUGAACUGCAGGAGAUUGUCUUGACCAUGUCUACAUGCCUAAAUGCACUAAGUUGCCGCCAUGUGAUUGGCUGAUUAGAAAUUAAGUGUUAACGAGCAGUUGGACAGGUGUACCCAAUAAAGUGGCCGGUGAGUGUAUAUCUUAAUGUUGUUAGAGGUUUAGUGUGUGUGUGUGUGUGUGUGUGUGUGUGUGUGUGUGUGUGUGUGUGUGUGUGUGUGUGUGUGUGAGAGAGAGAGAGAGAGAGAGACUGAUUAAAUGUGUCUGAGUGUAAAAAAAUCCAAAAAAGAAAAAUGCUUGACCUGCCUGCAUUACAUCUCACUUAAUUAUUAGGCAACACUUCUCACUCGCACAUACACUUUCUUACAACAUUACUAUUAAUCUGGCUGGGGUGGCACCAUGCAGUCAUGAAGAAGCUGACACCCAGAUCUUUGUGCAUGCCAGGCAUGCCACAGAAGCAGGCAGCAAGGUCAUCAUGGUCAAAGCCAACGACACAGAUGUUGUUGUCAUCGCAGUGAGUGUUCUGCAGGCACUUCAGAACCUCGGUCUGCAGCAGUUGUGGGUUGCCUUUGGCCAAAGACAGAACCUGAAGUGGAUUCCUGUUCAUGACCUGUGUGGCACUCUUGCAGAAAAGAGCAAAGGGAUGCUCUUCUUCCAUGCAUUCACUGGUUGCGAUGUUGUUUCAGCAUUCCGUGGCAAAGGGAAGAAGUCUGCUUGGCAAACCUGGAAUGUUUGUGAUGAGGCUUCCAGUGUCUUCAGCAAACUCAGCCAUUACCCACCUGUAUUGGAUGAUGAGGACCUGAAAACCCUAGAGAAGUUUGUGUACAUGUUGUACGACAGAUCCAGCACAGCUGAAGGUGUCGACGAUGCAAGGUUGGACAUGUUUGCUCGGAAGCAGAGGCCGUACGAAGCCACUCCUCCAACUCGAUCAGCACUUAAGCAAUAUGUCAUGCGUGCAUCCUACCAAGCGGGCUGCAUCUGGAGUCAGUCAAUAGUAUGUCAACCAGAAACACAUAGUCCUGCCAACUGGGGCUGGAACAAGAAAGGAGAUCUGUGGCAGAUUGUUUGGACAGAGCUCCCACCCAUUGCAGAGAGUUGCCAGCAGCUGGCCAAGUGUGGAUGCAAGUUUGAAUGCUGUGGUCGAUGCAAAUUCUACUGCUUUGGUCUGACCUGCACAGCACUGUGCAGCUGCAGGUGUGAGGUUUAGAAACGCUGUAGUAAAAGCCUACUCAUCCAAAAAGCCUACAUGUAAAAAAAAAAACAAACAAAAAAACCCUGCCUCGGUAGGAUCACCACCUUAUCGUGGUGGGGCACUUUGUGUGUCUCCAUGACCCCUAGAGCUAUGCCGGCUGGAGUAUUGUACUCCUGGCAGGGUCACCCACGCCAAACAGCUCGAAGGAUAGAGACCAGACAAAAAGUGAUCCCAUGGUGCUACCAUGCAUUUUAGGUGAAAUUCUAAAUUAUCAGAAUAUUAGGAUUCUGGGACUGAUAUGUGCAGUGAGGACACACCCUUGCCCACGCCCUUGCCCUCCUUGAACCCCCCCCCACACACACACACACACACACACACACACACACACACACACACACACACGAACUAGACCUCUAACAACACUAAGAUAUAGGCUACCAACCAUUUUACUCGAGUCUCACAUGAUGUAGACCUAACUAGGAUCAGAAUAUUAGGAUUCCAGGACUGAAAUAUGGUACAAGGAAGCCAGUAAGUAAGUCCAUGGGUCCAAAUUUGGAUUCUGCAUAAUGGAAAAUGUUCAUCCAAAUAGGACAAGUCUAUGGGAUUUUAUUGCAAAAUGCAAUAUUACUGUAUUUUCAAUGGUGGCCAUCUUGAAAAAUAGCCGCCAUCUUGAAUUUUCAUUUGGCCAGACGGAAAUAUCAAAAGAGCAACUUCUAAGAAGUAUGUGUGCCAAUUAUGGUGCUUUUAUCCGCAAGUGAACGAUUAUUACAGUUAUCUGCCCAGCUUUUACGCACAAAUGGUUCAGAUUUCAAUGCCAUUUUUGGAAUUUAUGUUGUGAUCUGUGCGCACAACCCACCUUUUUCAUGUGAGGUUUAAAUAUGUGCAACUUUAUGUGCUUGUCUUUAUUUGUGGAAAAGGGUGUUUGUCUUACCAGUGUGUCCAACAUUACACGCACCAAAUCCAUCUGUGCUCAUAUGAGAGAGUGUGGAGGAGACCCUCUGCAGCGCAUACAGCAACACUUGUUGAGGGGCUGCCUUCUGUCGCCAUCGUGUGGCAUUGCUGUCUUCAGACAUCUGUUGAUCUCUUUCACUACUUCAAGAAAAUUGGAAUAUGCCUCGCCGAUGGCGGAUUUAAAGGUGAGGAGAGGAGCUGAUGUUAUUAGUGAAAACAGGUCUCAGCUGUGUUAACCCCACUCCAUGCCCUCUCUCCUCCCUUCCUACAACUUACUGGGAGGAACUGAGUUAGGGAGGGGGGAUACUUAGGCCGAGCUGCGCCGCUCACCAAAAUACCAAAUUGUGCUUGGGAAUGCCUUGUCGGCGCGGCAGACCUGACUUACGCCGCGCAUGUGCCGCGUCGCCAGCGAGGCACGAAAAUAGAGCCCACAGAGUCACAAAAUUCAUCUACAUCUAAAAUGAAGAUAACACUGCAUCCAUCAUUUUUUCCCCCUUCAUGCAAAGUAUAUGAAAAACUUUAGUGUGUUACAUUCAUGGAAUCAAUAAACUGCUGCCAAGAAAAUGAAAUUUUAUUUUUUGCAGGCAAACAAAAAUAUUUUGAACAGUUUGAAAAAACCUUAACAAAAAAGAUGCUGGGUUGGAUUGCUUUAAAAAAAAAAAGUUCAUUUCUAAUUGAGUCCUCUUCCUAUUUACGACAUCAGAAUUUGAACUUGCCACGUGCAGCAAACCAAAAAUGCUGUCUGCUUCUGUCUGCCGUCAUCAUUUAACUGCAUACUGGAGUGUACAGUCGGCUGUCAACCAUAAUUAAAAAAUAAAAAAUAAAAAUAUUGAACAAUGCAAGAUAUAUAUUUGCAAAAUAAUGGCUGAUUAAAAUAUUACAUUUACUUGCUUAAUGUGACUUUCGCUCCUGAACCUCAGAGCACAGCUUCUCCAGGACAGGGCUGUAUGACCUCACCUUCAUCUUCACACAGGUUUUCUGUUUUCGCAAGUUGGCAGUUAUGAUGCAUAUUUUGAGCAACAAAAAAAUUAAAUAUGGUUUAUUUAAUGUUACAAGAGCAGUAUAAUCUUAGAAUUUAGAAUUGAAAAAAAAAAACCUAACUAAAAUAAAAUGACUUAUAAUUGAAUAUUAUUUAAUCUAUUGUAUUUUCCAAAUUCACAGGUAGCUGCAGCAGAGGGAUUAAAGAGCCACAUGCGGCUCCGGGCCGCAGGUUGCUGACCCCUGACCUACAGACUUCAUUUAAACUUUAAAAUGUAUACACAAGUCUUAUCUAUAGGUGUUUAAAUUCGUGAUUGAUUAAGUAUCGUAGUUUUUGACCAGUCACUGUUCAAUGACCAUGAUCAUUUUUGGAGAAAUUUUGAGAUUAUAAUGGGUGUGCAAUGGGAGGAAUCUUAGUGCCCAUAGACUGUGUAUAGAGUGGACGUCCUCUGCCUCCUCACUGGGUAAAGCCUCUGUGACAACAGCAAAUCCUGGUGAUGGGCUGCAGUAUAGGUCAUAAAUCUUGCCUCUUCCAGCAAUUCCUAGGUAGCUGUGGACACACUUUAGAAAUUAAUUACAUGGAAUAUACAUUUUUCUUUCCCCUGGUUAGUUGUUUACAUGUAGGACUGGUUUGUGCUCAAGUUCUCUUUUUUCUGUGCAGCUCCAAUUUUAAAAGUUAUUAGGGGCCUUUUUUUCUAUGAUUGACACUUGAUACAGCCUUUGAGUGUAUGCAGAUUGUGUAGAUCAUCCGGGGGAUACACUGUUUGAACAAUUCUCUCGUUGAAUGCUACUGUGCAAAUUCCAUUUACAGGAAAUAGAAAAAAUCAUGGAAAUACCAAGAGCACUUUGGCUUUAAAUUUGCACAAUGACAGGAGGCGGAGCCACGUGGUCCAUUCUAUAUACAGUCAACUGUAUGUUCAUGUCAGAGUGGCUGACAUUAUUGGCUAGAGGGACAGAAGUUGCAUGAAGUUGUCUAAAAAUGUUCUCUUUUCACACUCCUUCUGGCCACAAAUUACACUUUACAUGCAUAUUUUUUUUCUACAGUUGAAGACACACUUGUUCUCUCUAACGAUAUGUUCAUCUAAGCAGAUAGACUUAGAGAAUUUUAACACUUAGCCUGUCAGUGAGGCAUGUCUCUCCCUGCUCCUUAUUGAUGCUAAUACAACGAUUUUCUAAAAGUAGCAAGAGGGACUCCUGUUUAUAACUUGCAAGGAUUUCCAAAACCUGACCUGUAGAAACAUCAAAAUCAUAUCAAAGCAUCCAGGAAGUCCUUAUGAUGAUAAUGGUUUGCUUUUUUUUCUGAUAGAAGCUAUUGUUUUGUCGGAAUAAGCCCAAAUGUCAGACAAGUGUCAAGGCAAUAAAUCACUCUUUUUCUUGACAUUUUGACUGCCUCAACCUGUGAUGCAUCGAUUGUCAUAGGCAACCAGCUCAAGUGGCAAUGGCAACCUGUGAGCCUCAGGCUGGUGGCAACCUCCUCCAUCACAAAGUAGGUAUCUCAAUUUCUCUUUCUCUCUUAGAAGGAUUUAAAUGCAAAGUAACUUGACCUAAUGAUUUGUUUGUCUAUAAAGGAAUGAUGACCAGAGAUCCAGGAAAAAGAACAGAGGACCACAGCUAAAGACAGCAACCCAACAGGCAACAAGUACGAGGAAGUUACCGAUAAGUAGAGCUCUCAAGACUAUACUGUAUCUUGAUGAGUCAAACUUGACUGGACUCGUGUUGGUGUCUUACAGAUAUUUUUUGUGUGUGCCUGUGACUAUUUGCAGACAACAUGGAAGAUCAUCACUGUCCUAAGUCUACUGUCACAUCAG
rnacentral:lncRNA from 1 species